rnacentral:tmRNA from 1 species
GGGGGUGACUGGCUUCGACGGGAAAAACGAUAUAUGCGUUCGCGCGGCAAAGUUGCGGUAUCUUUCAAAACUUCCGCAAACUCUAAGUGCGAACAAAGUAGCACGGGCAGUUUUGUCACCUAUACAGAUGGCAGAUUUGCAGCCCGCUUACGCAUACGUUGCCUAAGCGCCGUCCACCAACUUGAUACUUGAUUAGGGUUGAUUGGGCGUAAAAAAAUUCAAGCACUGGUAUGCAGCCGUCCACUGCAUGCCUAAGACUACGGACUCGGUACGUUGUGUUUCUGUUCAUCUCUUAUGCGGCGUCCCUAAACAAAAACAGAUGAUCUACGCCUCGUAGACAGGCGCAUAUAUUCUUUCUCGCACGGGAGUUCGAUUCUCCCCACCUCCAC